rnacentral:rRNA from 1 species
AUUGAACGCUGGCGGCAGGCCUAACACAUGCAAGUCGAGCGAGCGGCGGGGGGGUGAGUAAUGUAUGGGGACUGCCCGAUAGAGGGGGAGAACUACUGGAAACGGUAGCUAAUACCGCAUACUAUAGGAUAACCCAUAUGGGAUUAGAUAGUAGGUGAGGUAAUGGCUCACCUAGGCGACGAUCCCUAGCUGGUCUGAGAGGAUGAUCAGCCACACUGGAACUGAGACACGGCCCAGACUCCGACGGAGGCAGCAGUGGUGAAUAUUGGACAAUGGGCGCAAGCCUGAUGCAGCCAUGCCGCGUGUAUGAAGAAGGCCUUAGGGUUGUAAAGUACUUUCAGUCGGGAGGCGUUACCGACAGAAGAAGCACCGGCUAACUCCGUGCCAGCAGCCGCGGUAAUUC